GAUGAACGCUAGCGGCAGGCCUAACACAUGCAAGUCGAGGGGUAGAACACUUCGGUGUUUGAGACCGGCGCACGGGUGCGUAACGCGUAUGCAAUCUACCUUGUACAGGGGAAUAGCCCAGAGAAAUUUGGAUUAAUGUCCCAUAGUAUAUAACCUUCGCAUGUUGGUUAUAUUAAAGUUCCAACGGUACAAGAUGAGCAUGCGUCCCAUUAGUUAGUUGGUAAGGUAACGGCUUACCAAGACAAUGAUGGGUAGGGGUCCUGAGAGGGAGAUCCCCCGACACUGGUACUGAGACACGGACCAGACUCCUACGGGAGGCAGCAGUGAGGAAUAUUGGACAAUGGGCGCAAGCCUGAUCCAGCCAUGCCGCGUGCAGGAAGACGGUCCUAUGGAUUGUAAACUGCUUUUAUACAGGAAGAAACACACCCUCGUGAGGGUACUUGACGGUACUGUAAGAAUAAGGAUCGGCUAACUCCGUG
rnacentral:rRNA from 1 species